CUCUUAUAUAAAUUUGACUUUAUGAUAUUUGGAGUCUAAUGUCAAAACUGGAUAUUUAUGCAGCAUUGUUCCUUUGUAAAUUUCUAUUUAAUUAGCAUUUGAAACAUUAUUGGUGAAAUUUGGGUUUUCAAUAAGGUCUUCUAUUUCUUUGAAACUCUUUUAUGACUCUUUAAUUUAAGGUCAAUCACUAGAGUCUUGCUUGGUUUCUCACCAAUGUUAUUGGUACUGCAAAGUUAUACACAGUAUAUCCCUUUGCCAAUCAGUGACCUUGAUUCUUGGUUGAAGACACCAUCCAUAUAUGUUUUUGAUUGCUCUGCGGCUGGGGGAAUAUUGUGAAUGCUUUUAUUGAGCUUCAUGAUUGGGUUGCUUCUAGCUCCUCUGGAUCCACACGGGAUUGCAAUCUACUUGGAGCUUGUGAAGCACAUGAGACUCUUCCACAAAGUGUUGAAUUUCUUGCAGAUGUGUUUACGUCUUGUCUCACAACACCUAUUAAGAUGGCUUUGAGAUGGAUCUUGCAGGCAAAGGACACCAAGUGAAUUAGAUAGAGAGGUUAAGAACUUGAGGGUGGCAUUUACUGACCUGUUUUUGAAGCAUAACACUUUCAAAGAAGCUGCAAAGCCAUCGAGAUAUUGAUGCAAAGAAUGGAAGAAUGUAUUUCACUAAUUUUUGUAUACAUUUCUUGUUUUGUAUUUAGUGAUAAAGGAAUCUGAAUUGGGCAUAAAUUAUGUUGUAAUAUGAUUUCUUAAGCCUAGACUAGUAGACUAAAUAUUGUAAUUACAUUUGAGUAAUUAAUAAAAAUCUAUUUAUGUUA